AUUGAACGCUGGCGGCAGGCCUAACACAUGCAAGUCGAGCGGUAGAGAGGUGCUUGCACCUCUUGAGAGCGGCGGACGGGUGAGUAAUGCCUAGGAAUCUGCCUGGUGGUGGGGGAUAACGUUCGGAAACGGACGCUAAUACCGCAUACGUCCUACGGGAGAAAGCGGGGGAUCUUCGGACCUCGCGCCAUUAGAUGAGCCUAGGUCGGAUUAGCUAGUUGGUGAGGUAAUGGCUCACCAAGGCGACGAUCCGUAACUGGUCUGAGAGGAUGAUCAGUCACACUGGAAAUGAGACACGGUCCAGACUCCUACGGGAGGCAGCAGUGGGGAAUAUUGGACAAUGGGCGAAAGCCUGAUUCAGCCAUGCCGCGUGUGUGAAGAAGGUCUUCGGAUUGUAAAGCACUUUAAGUUGGGAGGAAGGGUCGUAACCUAAUACGUUACGGCUUUGACGUUACCGACAGAAUAAGCACCGGCUAACUUCGUGCCAGCCGCCGCCGUAACAC
rnacentral:rRNA from 1 species